GAUUGAAGGCUGAAAUUACGCCUACAUGAAGCCGGAAUUGCUAGUAAUGGCAGGUCAGCAUACUGCCGUGAAUACGUUCCCGGGCCUUGUACACACCGCCCGUCACACCAUGAGAGUUGGGGAUACCCGAAGCCUGUGAGCCAACUGUAAAGAGGCAGCAGUAGAAGGUAGAAUCAAUGAUUGGGGUGAAGUCGUAACAAGGUAUC
rnacentral:rRNA from 1 species